GAUGAACGCUGGCGGCGUGCCUAAUACAUGCAAGUCGAGCGGACGGACGAUACUCUUGCUUCUCUGAUGUUAGCGGCGGACGGGUGAGUAACACGUGUAUAACCUACCUAUCAGACUGGGAUAUCUUCGGGAAUCCGGAGCUAAUCCCGGAUAAUCUUUUGAACCGCAUGGUUCAAUAGUGAAAGUCGGUCUUUCUGUCACUUCUAGAUGGUUCCGCGCUGCAUUAGAUAGUUGGUAAGGUAACGGCUUACCAAGGCAACGAUGCAUAGCCGACCUGAGAGGGGGAUCGGCCACACGGGAACUGAGACACGGUCCAGACUCCUAAGGGAGGCAGCAGUAGGGAAUGUUCCGCAAUGGGCGAAAGCCUGACGGAGCGACGCCGCGUGAGUGAUGAAGGUCUUCGGAUCGUAAAAAUCGGUUAUGAGGGAAGAACAGAUGUGGAAGUAACUGUGCACAGCUUGACGGUACCUAAUCAGAAAGCAACGGCUAACUACGUG
rnacentral:rRNA from 1 species